rnacentral:rRNA from 1 species
CUUAUGCGUUGUUGGGUAGGGGAGCGUUCUGUAAGCCUGCGAAGGUGUGCUGUGAGGUAUGCUGGAGGUAUCAGAAGUGCGAAUGCUGACAUAAGUAACGAUAAAGCGGGUGAAAAGCCCGCUCGCCGGAAGACCAAGGGUUCCUGUCCAACGUUAAUCGGGGCAGGGUGAGUCGACCCCUAAGGCGAGGCCGAAAGGCGUAGUCGAUGGGAAACAGGUUAAUAUUCCUGUACUUGGUGUUACUGCGAAGGGGGGACGGAGAAGGCUAUGUUGGCCGGGCGACGGUUGUCCCGGUUUAAGCGUGUAGGCUGAUUUUCCAGGCAAAUCCGGAAAAUCAAGGCUGAGGCGUGAUGACGAGGCACUACGGUGCUGAAGCAACAAAUGCCCUGCUUCCAGGAAAAGCCUCUAAGCAUCAGGUAACAUCAAAUCGUACCCCAAACCGACACAGGUGGUCAGGUAGAGAAUACCAAGGCGCUUGAGAGAACUCGGGUGAAGGAACUAGGCAAAAUGGUGCCGUAACUUCGGGAGAAGGCACGCUGAUAUGUAGGUGAAGCGACUUGCUCGUGGAGCUGAAAUCAGUCGAAGAUACCAGCUGGCUGCAACUGUUUAUUAAAAACACAGCACUGUGCAAACACGAAAGUGGACGUAUACGGUGUGACGCCUGCCCGGUGCCGGAAGGUUAAUUGAUGGGGUUAGCGGUAACGCGAAGCUCUUGAUCGAAGCCCCGGUAAACGGCGGCCGUAACUAUAACGGUCCUAAGGUAGCGAAAUUCCUUGUCGGGUAAGUUCCGACCUGCACGAAUGGCGUAAUGAUGGCCAGGCUGUCUCCACCCGAGACUCAGUGAAAUUGAACUCGCUGUGAAGAUGCAGUGUACCCGCGGCAAGACGGAAAGACCCCGUGAACCUUUACUAUAGCUUGACACUGAACAUUGAGCCUUGAUGUGUAGGAUAGGUGGGAGGCUUUGAAGUGUGGACGCCAGUCUGCAUGGAGCCGGCCUUGAAAUACCACCCUUUAAUGUUUGAUGUUCUAACGUUGGCCCCUGAUCGGGGUUGCGGACAGUGUCUGGUGGGUAGUUUGACUGGGGCGGUCUCCUCCUAAAGAGUAACGGAGGAGCACGAAGGUUGGCUAAUCCUGGUCGGACAUCAGGAGGUUAGUGCAAUGGCAUAAGCCAGCUUGACUGCGAGCGUGACGGCGCGAGCAGGUGCGAAAGCAGGUCAUAGUGAUCCGGUGGUUCUGAAUGGAAGGGCCAUCGCUCAACGGAUAAAAGGUACUCCGGGGAUAACAGGCUGAUACCGCCCAAGAGUUCAUAUCGACGGCGGUGUUUGGCACCUCGAUGUCGGCUCAUCACAUCCUGGGGCUGAAGUAGGUCCCAAGGGUAUGGCUGUUCGCCAUUUAAAGUGGUACGCGAGCUGGGUUUAGAACGUCGUGAGACAGUUCGGUCCCUAUCUGCCGUGGGCGCUGGAGAACUGAGGGGGGCUGCUCCUAGUACGAGAGGACCGGAGUGGACGCAUCACUGGUGUUCGGGUUGUCAUGCCAAUGGCACUGCCCGGUAGCUAAAUGCGGAAGAGAUAAGUGCUGAAAGCAUCUAAGCACGAAACUUGCCCCGAGAUGAGUUCUCCCUGAGACUUAGAGUCUCCUGAAGGAACGUUGAAGACGACGACGUUGAUAGGCCGGGUGUGUAAGCGCAGCGAUGCGUUGAGCUAACCGGUACUAAUGAACCGUGAGG